UGGGGANAUUGCACAAUGGGGGGAACCCUGAUGCAUCGACGCCGCGUGGGUGAAGAAGCGCCUCGGCGCGUAAAGCCCUGUCAGCAGGGAAGAAAAUGACGGUACCUGAAGAAGAAGCCCCGGCUAACUACGUGCCC
rnacentral:rRNA from 1 species